rnacentral:rRNA from 1 species
AUGCCGAAGGACAGGAGGAGGCGCAGGAGGGGGAAUCCGGGGACGGAGACGGAGACGAAAGCGAGGAGGAAGAAGAAGAAGAAGAUCAAGAGAAGCCUGGCAGUGAUGUUCGCGGCCUUUGAGAGUGAAAAAGCCCAACCCCAACCAAAAUUAGAUCGUGCGUACGACGAUGAUGUGGUCGAGUCCUCGGCGGAGGAAUCCUCUUAUCCACCCAGCCCUCUGCUCCACAAACCCUACAUCCCCGACGAGCUAGCUCAUAGGCCAGACAUACGUGCCGCCUACAAGCAUGCCGAAGCCGAAUACCGAGCAGACAAAUCUUGUCGGUUUGUCUUCACCUCGGACCGCUACUCUCCCCGUUCGUGCCUGUCCAACGACCGAAGCCUUCUUCAUAUCCGUGAGCCUGCAAAGGAUGCCGUGCUUUUUGCCGCCAACUCUGUCGUCGCCCUUGAAUCACGACUUGACGAUGAGCCGCUGAAUAGGUGUUCUGGUUUGUGGAUUCAAUGGGACGACAAGAAGAAUACCGCCGUGGUUUUGACGUCUGCGCAUCUCAUUCGCGCAAAGGAAUACGAUGAGUGGAAGAAUGAGUGGACGGAUGAAUAUCAUCGCGAGGCUGAGGUCAUUGUUCGCUUGUUGGACGACACAACCGCAGAAGCCAGUCUCCUCUACCUACAGGAGCAUUAUGAAUUUGCUCUUUAUGAGGUUGUAGUGGACAAACCGGUUCAGCUAUCCACUUUUAACGACAAUGUAAACUCUGGUCAAGACGGUUUCCGACUUGGAAGAGAUGAAAAUCUUGAUCUAAGGAUAACCCAUGGUAGGGUGGAAUAUAGGAUUCCAAUCCGUCAUGAGAGAUGUCACUACAUGUAUUUUUCCAACGAUGAACAUAGAUUCCGUGACGAUGGAGGCCCCAUCAUUGACUUAGAAGGGAAGGUUGUGGGAAUUGUCAACAAUCAAAUCAAUGAGACCUUUUUACCCUCAUCUAUAUUGCAUAAGUGCUUGAAUUCAUGGAGAAAGUUGAAGUGCGUCCCUCGUGCCCACCUUGGAAUGACCUUUACUUCCAUCAAGCUUCUAGAUCCUAUUUGUAUUGAGAGGAUAAGGCGUAAGCAUAACAUUUCAUCCGGUAUUAUUGUUGAACAGGUGUCAAAAGAAUCGAAUGCUGAGAAACUUGGAAUCCGCAAGGGUGAUAUUAUUGAACGUUUCAAUGGAGAGUAUAUUUCUAGUACAACCGAGUUGGAAAAGAUGUUGCUAGAUAUAGGCGGGGACCAAUUUGAUCAAGCAAAAGUCUUAAAUGCUGAAAUAGGUGUUCAAAUUCAAAUAUUUCGUGCCACGAAACUUUGCCGAAGAGUUAGAAACUUGACCGUAAUUGUAUCGGAUUGUGGAGAGAAUAUCAUAGAAGGCACUUACCCUAUCACUGAUGGCCUUUGGAAAUGA